GAGGGGAAUAUUGGACAAUGGGCGAAAGCCUGAUCCAGCCAUGCCGCGUGUGUGAAGAAGGUCUUCGGAUUGUAAAGCACUUUAAGUUGGGAGGAAGGGCAGUAAGUUAAUACCUUGCUGUUUUGACGUUACCGACAGAAUAAGCACCGGCUAACUUCGUACCAGCAGCCGCGGUAAUACGAAGGGUGCAAGCGUUAAUCGGAAUUACUGGGCGUAAAGCGCGCGUAGGUGGUGUUGUAAGUUGGAAGUGAAAUCCCCGGGCUCAACCUGGGAACUGCCUCCAAAACUGCAUGACUAGAGUACGGUAGAGGGUAGUGGAAUUUCCUGUGUAGCGGUGAAAUGCGUAGAUAGAGGAAGGAACACCAGUGGCGAAGGCGACUACCUGGACUGAUACUGACACUGAGGUGCGAAAGCGUGGGGAGCAAACAGGAUUAGAUACCCCAGUAGUCC
rnacentral:rRNA from 1 species